rnacentral:rRNA from 1 species
UACUCCUACGGGGAGGCAGCAGUGGGGAAUAUUGCACAAUGGGGGAAACCCUGAUGCAGCCAUGCCGCGUGUGUGAAGAAGGCCUUCGGGUUGUAAAGCACUUUCAGUAGGGAGGAAGGUAGUGUAGUUAACACCUGCAUUAUUUGACGUUACCUACAGAAGAAGCACCGGCUAACUCCGUGCCAGCAGCCGCGGUAAUACGGAGGGUGCGAGCGUUAAUCGGAAUUACUGGGCGUAAAGCGCAUGCAGGCGGCCUGUUAAGUCAGAUGUGAAAGCCCGGGGCUUAACCUCGGAAUUGCAUUUGAAACUGGCAGGCUAGAGUCUUGUAGAGGGGGGUAGGAAUUUCAGGUGUAGCGGUGAAAUGCGUAGAGAUCUGAAGGAAUACCAGUGGCGAAGGCGGCCCCCUCGGACAAAGACUGACGCUCAGAUGCGAAAGCGUGGGGAGCAAACAGGAUUAGAUACCCUGGUAG